rnacentral:rRNA from 1 species
UACAGAGGGUGCAAGCGUUAAUCGGAAUGACUGGGCGUAAAGGGUGCGUAGGUGGUUGCUUAAGUUAGAUGUGAAAUCCCCGGGCUUAACCUGGGAACUGCAUAUAAUACUGAGCGACUAGAGUGUGGGAGAGGUAAGUGGAAUUUCCGGUGUAGCGGUGAAAUGCGUAGAUAUCGGAAGGAACACCAGUGGCGAAGGCGGCUUACUGGCCUAACACUGACACUGAGGCACGAAAGCGUGGGGAGCAAACAGG